rnacentral:rRNA from 1 species
AUUGAACGCUGGCGGCAUGCCUUACACAUGCAAGUCGAACGGCAGCACGGGAGCAAUCCUGGUGGCGAAUGGCGAACGGGUGAGUAAAGUAUCGGAACGUGCCCAGUCGUGGGGGAUAACGUAGCGAAAGUUACGCUAAUACCGCAUACGAUCUAUGGAUGAAAGCGGGGGAUCGCAAGACCUCGCGCGAUUGGAGCGGCCGAUAUCAGAUUAGGUAGUUGGUGGGGUAAAGGCUCACCAAGCCGACGAUCUGUAGCUGGUCUGAGAGGACGACCAGCCACACUGGGACUGAGACACGGCCCAGACUCCGACGGGGGGGAGCAGUGGGGAAUUGUGGACAAUGGGCGCAAGCCUGAUCCAGCCAUGCCGCGUGCAGGAUGAAGGCCUUCGGGUUGUAAACUGCUUUUGUACGGAACGAAAAGGUUUGACUUAAUACGUUGGACUCAUGACGGUACCGUAAGAAUAAGCACCGGCUAACUACGUGCCAGCCGCCGCGGUAA